GCCAAAGGAGAGAAGACCAGAGAGUGUGGCUGUGCAGGUAAUGCUGCUGCAAGACGCAAUAUUUUACUGACCAAAAUGGUCAGUAGGAACUACCAGAAUUGAAAUGAAGAAAAUUGAUGAAAGCAUAUCUUGCUAGAUUUAUGUACUAUUUUUUUAAAAAAAAAACAUUCCCGUACAAUAUAAAAGGAAAAGCAAGAACAUGCAUGACGAAACAAGUUUAGGUCUUUGAGAAUUUGAGCUACGUUUCCUAUUCUGUUGAAGACACACCGAAACCAGACAAAGGAUCUUAAGGACAGUAUUUCUCUGGAUGUAGUCCAUGGAGACAGAGUGUACAAACCAUGGAGGAUAAAAUGCAGAUCCUAAACCCACUGAAUCAGAGUCUAAGGAAGGGAGUCCACGAGUCUGCAUUUCAACACAAGAGUCUUGUGCAAAUUUAAGUUUCAAAAUCACUGCUAUAGGUCGUUAUAUAAAAUUUACAUGCUAAAUUAAAUAAACUAAGGUACAGCCCUUCUAAGAGCUAUUUGACAC
rnacentral:lncRNA from 1 species